GUUAGGAAUAUUGGACAAUGGGCGCAAGCCUGAUCCAGCCAUGCCGCGUGAGUGAUGAAGGCCUUCGGGUUGUAAAGCUCUUUAGCCGAUGAUUAUAAUGACUGUAGUCGGAAAAUAAGCCCCGGCUAACUUCGUGCCAGCAGCCGCGGUAAUACGAAGGGGGCGAGCGUUAUUCGGAAUCACUGGGCGUAAAGCGUGCGUAGGCGGCUUUGCAAGUUGGGAGUGAAAGCCCAGGGCUCAACCCUGGAAUUGCUCUCAAAACUGCAAGGCUCGAAUUCGGGAGAGGAUAGCGGAAUUGUCAGUGUAGCAGUGAAAUGCGUAGAUAUUGACAGGAACACCAGUGGCGUAAGCGGCUAUCUGGACCGAUAUUGACGCUGAGGCACGAAAGCGUGGGGAGCAAACAGGAUUAGAAACCCUUGUAGUCC
rnacentral:rRNA from 1 species